GUUGUCGCUGGUCCCUCGGGGGCAUGUGCACGCCUGAGCUCUUAAAUCCCACCACACACCUGUGAACCCACCGUGGGCCCUGCAAGGGGCUCGCCUCUAUAUACUCUGCAUGUCUCAUAGAAUGUCAAAUUGUUUGCCUUAAAAACGCAAUCAAAUACAACUUUCAACAACGGAUCUCUUGGCUCUCGCAUCGAUGAAGAACGCAGCGAAAUGCGAUAAGUAAUGUGAAUUGCAGAUUUUCAGUGAAUCAUCGAAUCUUUGAACGCACCUUGCGCUCCUUGGUAUUCCGAGGAGCAUGCCUGUUUGAGUGUCAUUCAAAUCAUCAACCCCGUCGAUCUUUGAUCGGUCGGAGGCUUGGACUUUGGAGCGUGCUGGCCCCCYGAGGUCGGCUCCUCUUUAAAUGCAUCAGCGGAAAGCCCAUUGACGUUUCCCGUCGGCGUGAUAACACUGUUGCGUCGUCAGGGUCUGGUUGGGGCUCGCUUAUAAUCGUCUUCGGACAACAUCCCAUUUUGACCUCAAAUCAGGUAGGACUACCCGCUGAACUUAAGCAUAUCAAUAAGCGGAGGAAAAGAAACUAACAAGGAUUCCCCUAGUAACUGCGAGUGAAGCGGGAAAAGCUCAAAUUUAAAAUCUGGUGGUCCUCUGGGCCGUCCGAGUUGUAAUCUGG
rnacentral:misc_RNA from 1 species